rnacentral:lncRNA from 1 species
UCCCCUGAAUUCCCAAUUCUCAGGAGGUUUUUCUGGGAUUUUUCCCUCAGGAUUUUUCCCCUGAAUUCCCAAUUCCUCGGGGUUUUUCUGGGAUUUUUCCCUCAGGAUUUUUCCCCUGAAUUCCCAAUUCCCAGGAGGUUUUCACUGGAUUUUUCCUGCAGGCUCCUCUUCCCUCCUUUUAUCCUUCAGGGAUAAACCGGCAGCACCCAGCCUGUCCUUGUUUUUUUCCUCCAAGGUUUUGUCCCUCCAGGAUUUCUUUCCCUGAAUUCCCAAAUUCCCACAGGAUUUCCCAUGAAUUUUCUUUCAAGAUUUUCCCCCUGAAUUCCCAAUUCCUCAGGGAUUCCUCUUUGGGCUUUCCUUCAGGAUUUCUUUCCCUGAAUUCCCAAUUCCCAGGGCCUUUCCUGUGGAUUUUUCCUUAAGAAUGAUUUUCCUGAAUUCCCAAUUGCUUGGGGCUUUUUCUUGGGUUUUUCCCUCAGGAUUUUCCCCCCGAAUUCCCAAUUCCCAGGAACUUUCCUAUGGAUUUUUCUUUCAGCAUUUUUUUCCCUGAAUGCCCAAUUCCCAGAGAUUCCCCAUGGGUUUUUCCUUCAGGAUUUCUUUCCCUGAAUUUCCAGUUCCCAGGGCCUUUCCCAUGGAUUUUUCCUUCAGGAUUUUUUCCCUUCAGGAUUUUUCCCCUGAAUUCCCAAUUCCCAGGAAAUUUUCAUGGGAUUUUCCCUUCAGGAUUUUUCUCCUGGACUCCCAAUUCCUCGAGAUUUUUCUGGGGUUUUUCCCUUAGGAUUUUCCCCCUGAAUUCCCAAUUCCUUGGGGGUUUUUCUUGGGAUUUCCCCUCAGGAUUUUUCCCUGAAUUCCCAAUUCCCAGGAAGUUUUCCUUGGGUUUUUCCCUCAGGAUUUUCCCCCUGAAUUCCCAAUUCCUGAGGGGUUUUCCCUCAGGAUUUUUCCCCUGAACUCCCAAUUCCCAGGAAGUUUUCAUGAGAUUUUUCCUUCAGGAUUUUGCCCCUGAACUCCCAAUUCCUGAGGGGUUUUCCAUCAGGAUUUUUCCCCUGAAUUGCCAGGAAAUUUUCCUUGGGUUUUUCCCUCAGGAUUUUCCCCCUGAACUCCCAAUUCCCAGGAGAUUUUCACUGGGUUUUUCCCUCAGGAUUUUCCCCCUGAACUCCCAAUUCCCAGGAGGUUUUCCUUGGGGUUUCCCCUCAGGAUUUUCCCCAGAAUUCCCGAUUGCGGGCCCUUUCGCUGUGCCGCAGGGGA